UUAGGUGAAAAAGCAUUAAAGUUUAUCACUCUGGAACAGAGUGGAAAAUUAUUAAUGCCUCCUGUUUGGGGCAUGCAUGGCAAGGUGUUGGUAGCAGGGUGUGGGGCUCCUGUGUGAGGCAAGGCUGGAGCAGCCUGUGGCUGCUUCCAGGUGGCUCCAAUGACCCCACCCCAGGUGGUGGUGCUCUGAACCAACCAGAGGAGUCUGUGAUGCUUCUGUGAAAACAGAUUUUAAAAAGGUUGGCAAAAGCUGAGAGAGGGACCUGAGACAGGGAGAAGGAACAAGGCCAAAAGAGUAGGAGGUAAUGCAUGGAAUUGGUAACACCCCUGAAGGCCUGGCAGCCCGUGGGAAGCCCAAACCAGAGCAGGUAGCCCCCAGAGAGACUGCAGCCUGUGGAGAGCUGCUGGGGCUUAGGGAAAGAGUGAGGGGGAAGGAGCAGCGGAAGAAAAGAAUGAGAAACAAGUAGUGGCAGAGAGGAACCACUGCACCACAACCUACUGUGGCCCGUCACCUCACUGAAGUGAGCAAGUGUAACCCGCAGCAAUAACAAGAGGAGAGGCAACUGGAGGGAAGUCAAGCCUGAGAAAGAACGUUUCACCGCUGCCCAGGUGCACUUCAAGGAAAGGGGGAGAAGCAGGAGCAGCAAAGAGCCAAGGCAUCAGCGCCAGGCAGACUGCAAGCCAAGCCCUUCCCCGCAAGGAUUUGCUAAAAGGGUGAAAAUGCGCGGGGAGCAUUCCUCCUGCAGCAGUGCCACUGGAGCCUCAUCACCUUAGCUGACCUCAGGUGUCUCCAAGCUCCAGCUCUCUAUCUCAGCUCGUUUUCCAGGAGCUACUGAACCUAAUUACAGAGGAGAAGACAACCUCAGACUGGGGCAGGCGAUGAAGCAGGGGAGGGUGGACAACACGUGCAUCCCCCGUGUGUCCUCAUGCGUUACUUCUCCAGGAUUAAACAACUCUCACCGUGGGAAGGGCAACGUCUGCCCUUCGGGAGCACGGGAGAGACAAGUGGAGGAACAAUGGCUCUGAAGCACAGCUCUGCCUUCCCCUGCCUUCCCGGCAGCCUCCACCACUGCCUGGGGCACCCUCGAGCAGCCUUGGAGGCCGAUUCCUAUGGGUGGAGUUAAAAAGGCCCUGAAAAAAUUAUAGGGAAUGGAUUUCCUGCACAGAGAUCAGGGCAGCAGGAGGACUGGGCUGAAGGAAAGAUAACAGCUGUGGAAAACUGAAUGAUUAGGAGGAAAGGAAACUGAUUUUUUUCUUUAAUUCUUGUCGCAGAAAAAAAAAACAAGAGGACAUCCAUUAAAGGAACCUAAUCAAGUUUGCUUUCCUGAUUUUUCUUGAGUAGCCCUUGGAACAUAAGGAGGGCAGGAGAGAGGAUGAAAUCCUCUGUCAGUAAUGCUUUAGAAACCCCUUGCUAUGUAACAAAAGAAAAAAUAUAUCUACAUAAAAGGAGGCAAAUCCCCAUCUAGGUCAUAUAUGUGCCAGUAACUUUCAGGAAUUGAAAAGAAACUUCUUCAAAAGGCAACUUAACAAGUAAAAAUUCUCCACAAUAGAUUUUUGCUACCUUUUUAAAGAAAUGCUUAUUUUAGUUACUCUUGGAAAAAAAAAAAACAGUCCCAACAGAAGGGCAGUAAGGGCCAGUAUGACAAUAGCACUAUUUCAGACAUUUCUGAAAGCUUAUCGUUGAUGAAUGAUACAAAACACUUUCACUGAAGUGUAAGCCAGGCUGUUGGCCUGCUUUCUGGUAAGACGUGUGUGUGUAAUCUGCAUUCCUGCCUCUUGCAGGAGAGCUGUGAUGAACUACUUCAGUCACUGCUGCACGCGGUUUUGAAGUUACAUGAAGGGAGAAUUACACUUUUUUUUUUCCCUGCUGAAAGAGGAAGGGGAUCUUCCCAUGGACUUCAUCCCGAUUUUUUCUUUGAAUAGAGCUGCAAGCAGUUUUUCAUAGCAACAUGCUGCUCAGUUGCAGAAAUCCUGUCAUUUUACUGGGGAGGGAGCCAGCCGGUACUCAGCACGAAUACUGAUGGUGUUCCCCCACCCUCCUGCCCUGUCUCCUCGUGUUGCACCGUGUUGUGUGCAGCAGGUCCUGGAGGGCACCGGGGCCAGGUGUCUCUGCAGACCUACUCGCCUUCUCACCUGGAGCCCAACCAAGCCUCCCGAGUGUUUCUUUGUGCAGUGGGCUUUUUCCAGCGUGGCUGUUUUCAGAACAAACAUCUCUGCUUCUCAGCUGAAAUGCUGGGUGCCAUCUCGCAUGCUCCCUCCUCUUCUCCUGGGUGGUCCUGUCCAGGGAGCCCUCGCCCCUUCCCGAUGAAGUUUGGGUGACACCACGUGUUGUACUGACAGAAGGCUUUGGCUUCAAUAAAUGUGCAAAACAUGAGGUGUUUUCAUUUCUCCAAAAGUGUCCUAGCUUGUUGUGACAUUCAGGCACUGUAUGGUACAAAUGAGUAGGAUGUCUGACUGCUGUACAACAGGCAGGGGAAAGCACAACUGCAAUGUACAAGUUAAUAACAGAAGUCCUGACCACACCGGAGAGCGCCUGAUGAGGAGAUGUGACCUGUAUUCCUGAAAAACUGCAGCGCAGUGUCUAUAGGAAGCCUUGCAGUAACUGCUCUGGGAGAUCAUCUCUUCCACAUCUGCUUUUCAGGUCUGGCUCACUUCAGAACACAGAACAGGAUUUUUGAAGAAAAGGGUUUGGGCAGGGGGUGCGUGUCAUUCUGCCAGGCCUGACCUCCCUCCCAGCUCUCCCAAGCCCGUUGGAUCUGCGCAUCCCUCCUGGCGUGCGAGCAGGCCUGGAGGACCUCAAGGUCUUGGCACAGCUCUCCUGUCACUCACCCUGCCGGCUGCCAGCACCCCCAGGGGCUCAGGGACAGCUCUGAGGAGCAAGAGGUCGGUGAGAGGAUGUCACACAAGCAGCAGAAAGACUCAAGGAGAGGAGAAAAAGACCAUCUUCUCUUUAGUUUCGCAGGGUAAAGGAUGCAGAAUUACUCUGACCACAAACACCAUGGAGGAAAAUUGUGCUAAUUGCAUGACUUGUUGCUGAUAAAUGUGUCUGAACUCCUUGUAUGCCUUAAGACCUUUUCCUUCAGAGAGGCAGACAACUCGAAGAUCUUCUCAUACUGCCCAAAAUUUGAAGCCUGGUUGUGGGGGCACCCCAUCAGGUAACCCACUCCCGUGCUUUUUAUUUGAGGGGUUUAUUCAGCAACCCCGUAACAUUCUGGCUGCUGUUCCAACGUGUCCACUUCUGAGCAAGAUCUGAGAAAGUCCCCAUCACGGGGACCCAUCAUGGUCUUGGAGCUUGAGAUAAUUCACGAAGGGAAUCUUCUGCCCGGUGCGUUUGAAGGCCCAAUUCUGCCGAAACAGCAGGGACAGUUUUUCCCCUCUAACUCCCGCACGCUGCGGAUGUUCUGACCUCUGCUGGCAGCAGGCGGGAAUUACCGGAAUUCUGCUAAUCGGCGAUAAAAGGCCAGAAAAAGAAACACAUCGGCCAGCAUCGGUGUGAGUGUCGGCAAAAAUAACAUUUUAAAGCGGUAAAGCAGUUGGGUAAAUCGACAGCUUUUCUUUUUUUAAUAGAAAAGAAAAAAGAUCAAUAAAAUAUUAUUUUCUGUGAAUUUUGAAGAAGAAGAAGGGUAUGAAGAGUGAAGGAUAAGGGAAACAUGCCUGAAAUUUUCAAAGAAACUUGGACGCUUCAGCAGCACUGCGCUGAUGAGGGACAUCACUCUGGAAGGAGACAUGUAAGCAAACCCAGAGUCCCUCAUCUGGGUUUUGUCCCCAGCAGCUUAAAAUGACUGCCUACAUUAAAUAUUUCAGCAAAUUCUAACCUGGAUCAUGCUAACGAACAUUUGGCCGUUUUCUCCCCUGUGAAAGUCAGCUGGCACCAGCUCUUGCUGGGGCUCCUGCUGCCCACGCAGCCCUUCGCAGCCCUUGGCCAGCUCCUUGCCCAGCCACCACUGUUUUGGGACAGCUUUGGGGGCAUUUGCCUGCACCAGUUCCUGCCCAAGGGUGCUGUGACUCCCAGGGACUCCCCUUGCCCAUGAACUUGUCCUUCCUAAGAGAAAAGAGCUUCCUCCAUGAUCCAGAAAGACACAUCAUAAAUGCUAUUUGAACUGUCCUGAGCUCUGUGCUCUGCCAGGCUGGCCUACAGGUUGCUGCGGUUAAUGUAUACAAUUCCCUAUAACUGCACAAGCUGCCUCUUUAAUCUGCUGGAUCAGACCCACCUUGUUGCUCUGAAGCAGAUAUGCAUAGUAGGCUGACGAGAAACAGCUGAAAUGUCAUUGUUUGUGCCUAGCGGGCCUAAAUGCAGGUUUCUGUAAGAGUUUCCAGAAAAUUUCAAGCCAUUUAAUUGAUGACACUUUGUUAAAAUCACUAACCAACAUUUUCUGCUUAUCAUAAAUGCAAGGUAAAAAUGCUUCAGAUGCUCUCUCAAUUUUAGAACAAAUCUGCAGGGAUAAUGAUUUGUCUGGCACUGCUACAAAAUGCUGAAAAUGUCAAAUGCAAUGACUUGCGUGUGUGCAAAAAGUCUGCAAUUAUGAAGCGGGGUCAUUUUUCGCUGGAAAGCACCAAUUGCCUCUGAAUAAAUAGAAAACAUUCCUUCACCUCCAUAGCACUGGGUAGCAUCCAUACCUUUAUUAAAAGAUAUGUUAAAAAAUAAAUAAAAAACAAAAAUCUGCAAGCUUUAAAAUAUGUGGAUGCUACUUUUUUGGAUAUAAGUAACAAAGACCUUUGCAGAAAUGACUUAGAGGCCAGAGACCAGACCUGUAAGUUAUUGACUGGCUUUUGGAAGCGUGCUUCUACUUCUCUGAACUACUCAAUCUUCUCAUGGAGCUUAAAUACCUGGCAAGUCUGCCUCAGGCCCGGUGACCACAGAAAUGUCUAAUAAAUAAACAAACUGUUUGCGUUUUGUCAGCUUUGGGCCUGCAAGAAGACAUCCUUGGCUUUCGGGAAGUCUGUCAGGUGACACUUGGACAUACAAUGAAACUCAGCAAAUGCUGCUUGUAUUGUGUGGUGUUUCCUUUGAUUCCCUGAGCUUGAAUAAAUGAAUUACUAUUUUUCUUCAGAAAACGGAACAAAAACUAAGUAAGAGGCAAGUGGGGGUGCUUCCUUGGUAAUGAAGUCUUCCUUUUGUGUUUUUUAGAGCAGCUCUAUUUUCCAAAUACCUGUUCUGCAGAAGCUUUAAAGGCCUCAUCUUCUAACAAUGCGGUGUCCUCGUUGAGGCUGACCUGCGGCGGACCUCUAUUUACCAAACAGAAAGAUGCUAAUUAUUUCGUGUAUCGGCCUUAACGUGAUUACAGUGAGCAUGGACACUGUUUGUUGUUAUAGCAAUCUGAAUUAAAUUAUGCUUGUGCCAGCACAA